rnacentral:lncRNA from 1 species
UUUGUUCUACAUCUCAUUUCCAAUUCUUUUCUUUUUCAGUUUGUAUUGCUCAGUUCUCUUUUUUUUCUUUGAUUUUCUCUUCUCUUUUUUUUUUCAACUGAGUGUUUCUCAUUCGAUGAGUGUUUUUCCCGUAUCAUCGAAGAAAAAAAUUUAUUUUGUUCUCUUUUUUGUUUCGAUGGUUGUUUUUCUUAAUUUUUUCUACACUCACCUUACUUUCAGAUACUUAUGGGGUUACUCCAAACUUAGAAUUUAACACAGCUUUAAAGAACAUAAC